GAGAACAAAAGAAACAAGAGCAAAAGAACUAAAGGCCAUACGGCCAUGGAGAAAAAAAAAUUGACCCUUUGAAAUCUUAUCCCAAAAAUUAUUUUCUUGUGGUAUUUCUACUAAUUCAAGGGUCCUUUACAACUUGGUGUAAUUAUUUUGGAAGGAAGAGCACUUGUUUCUUCAAGUUGACAACUUGGUCAAGUGAAGAAGAUUGUAGAAAAAGAUUUUGGCGAACUUGAAACUUGAUUUUGGAGACGUGUAUGAAGCGGAAAAGGUCAGCAGACAGGCGGAUUUGGUUCCUAGGAGCUCUAUCAGCAGUAUUUGACAGCGCUCCAGUUGUUCCGGAGCCUCAGUCCCUUGGUACUAUUUUUGUGUAUAUACUCGGGCACGGCAGUACUCGGCCCUUUCUGUGUAUAUGUGUACUAUGUUUAGAGGCUCGUAGACAGAUAUGUACAGUUAGAUGUGUUGUAUUUUGGAAUGUUCACGUCGUCGUAUAACGUGAUAGAAAAGUUUACUAGUCUAU